rnacentral:rRNA from 1 species
AACGAACGCUGGCGGCAUGCCUAACACAUGCAAGUCGAACGAGACCUUCGGGUCUAGUGGCGCACGGGUGCGUAACGCGGGGGAACCUGCCCUUAGGUUCGGAAUAACUCCCCGAAAGGGGUGCUAAUACCGGAUAAUGUCUUCGGACCAAAGAUUUAUCGCCUUUGGAUGGGCCCGCGUUGGAUUAGCUAGUUGGUAGGGUAAAAGCCUACCAAGGCGACGAUCCAUAGCUGGUCUGAGAGGAUGAUCAGCCACACUGGGACUGAGACACGGCCCAGACUCCUACGGGAAGCAGCAGUGGGGAAUAUUGGACGAUGGGCGGAAGCCUGAUCCAGCAAUGCCGCGUGAGUGAUGAAGGCCUUAGGGUUGUAAAGCUCUUUUACCCGGGAUGAUAAUGACAGUACCGGGAGAAUAAGCUCCGGCUAACUCCGUG